AAGUCGUAACAAGGUUUCCGUAGGUGAACCUGCGGAAGGAUCAUUAACACAAUUUUACUGUGAUAAAUCCGUUGAAUUCUCGAAUUCAAUGGUAUCCACCCCAUUAUUGACGAACUUUUCUAGAUGUUAAAACAUAGAGCUAGUCUUUAUGUUUUUAACAUUCUAAACCUUUUUCUCUAUCCACACAAAUUUAAACCCCUUUUACAACAUGAAUUAGACUGAAAUGAAAAUUUUCUAUCAAAAAAUUGAUAAAAACAACUUUUAACAACGGAUAUCUUGGCUCUC
rnacentral:misc_RNA from 1 species